GACGAACGCUGGCGGCGUGCCUAAUACAUGCAAGUCGAACGCACGAAGUUGAAGAGCUUGCUCUUUAACCAAGUGAGUGGCGGACGGGUGAGUAACACGUGGGUAACCUGCCCAUUAGAGGGGGAUAACAUUCGGAAACGGAUGCUAAUACCGCAUAGUUUCAGGAAUCGCAUGAUUCUUGAAGGAAAGGUGGCUUCGGCUACCACUAAUGGAUGGACCCGCGGCGUAUUAGCUAGUUGGUGAGGUAAUGGCUCACCAAGGCAAUGAUACGUAGCCGACCUGAGAGGGUGAUCGGCCACACUGGGACUGAGACACGGCCCAGACUCCUACGGGAGGCAGCAGUAGGGAAUCUUCCGCAAUGGACGAAAGUCUGACGGAGCAACGCCGCGUGAGUGAAGAAGGUUUUCGGAUCGUAAAACUCUGUUGUUAAAGAAGAACAAGGAUGAGAGUAACUGCUCAUCCCCUGACGGUAUUUAACCAGAAAGCCACGGCUAACUACGUGCCAGCAGCCGCGGUAAUACGUAGGUGGCAAGCGUUGUCCGGAUUUAUUGGGCGUAAAGCGAGCGCAGGCGGUUCCUUAAGUCUGAUGUGAAAGCCCCCGGCUCAACCGGGGAGGGUCAUUGGAAACUGGAGAACUUGAGUGCAGAAGAGGAGAGUGGAAUUCCACGUGUAGCGGUGAAAUGCGUAGAUAUGUGGAGGAACACCAGUGGCGAAGGCGACUCUCUGGUCUGUAACUGACGCUGAGGCUCGAAAGCGUGGGGAGCAAACAGG
rnacentral:rRNA from 1 species